UUGAAAAACCGGGUCCCGUACGACCACCGAAGUUAAGCAACGUCUAAUCUGAUCAGUACCUAGAUGGGUGUCCGCUUGGGAAUACCAGAUGUUGCAAG